CUGCUGACGAUGCAGGUCAUCACAGCCGGAAUCAGCUCGUGCACCUGCAGGAGAAGCCCGCGUCAGCUCACUGUGACAGACGGUCCCCGAGCCUGGACGAGGGGUGGGCCGACAGGUCCACUCACGUAUUUCUCUAGGAGCCCACGCAGGCCUCAGUGAUCUCCUUGUAGUACAGCUGCUGCUCCACUGACAGCUCGUGGAUGCUUCGGGGCUUCAGUCGCAGAGGCGCCCCCUCCAGCAGGGGUGGCGCCUUCUUCUCUUUCCCUGUAAGUAAAGCUCCCGGCCGCCACCAGAGGCAAAACGGAAAGGAAUGAAUUCCUGAGCGUGGAAGCCAUACAGUGGCUACAACAGGAGGGAGAGAGAGACCCUGGAUGAGAAGGGAGCCCGCGCAGGCUGGGCGGAGUGCAGGAAGACCAGGGUACCUGCGCGAUCUCCUUGAUGCGGUAGCUGACCUCGUCCGUCAGCAGCUGGCAGGUCUCCUCCUGAAUCUGAGCGAUGCCCAUGGACUCGGCCACCACCUUCAUGGACUCCGAGG